rnacentral:lncRNA from 1 species
GUGAGUAAGAUCUCUGAUGUUUAUCUGGUUCUACCGUUUUGGGUGUAUUGGAGCCUCACCGUCAAGUCGCCUGAAAUUCACAUGCCGAUGGCCAGUAGUCUGAACUCAUUCGCUUCGUGAGAAACUUCCGUCAGUAUUUGAGGAUCAUCAGUGAGAUACCGUACUCCAUAUCGGACUCCAGGCAUCGUACUUUUCACGGAGAAUGUGACGAAGGGCAGUUUCAUGAUGUGUAGAUGCGCUCAUACACGUCUCUGAGUCUCGAUACAAGCA